UUAAAAAGCUUCAAACUGGGAUUAGAUACCCCACUAUGCCCAGCCUCAAACUAUGACUCAAUACAAAACACUUCCGCCCGGGAACUACGAGCUCCAGCUUAAAACCCAAAGGACUUGGCGGUGCCCCACCCACCUAGAGGAGCCUGUUCUAUAAUCGAUAACCCCCGCUUAACCUCACCACUUCUUGCCAAUACCGCCUAUAUACCACCGUCGCCAGCCCACCCCGUGAGGGAAUAAGUAGGCACAAUGAUCACCACCAAAACGUCAGGUCAAGGUGUAGCGUAUGAAGUGGAAAGAAAUGGGCUACAUUCUCUAAUCUAGAGCACACGAAAAAUCAUAAGAAAUUAGAUUGGAAGGAGGAUUUAGUAGUAAAAAGAAACAAUAGUGUUCUUUUUAAAUUGGCCCUGGGGCGCGCACACACCGCCCGUCACCCUCUGCAGUCAAA
rnacentral:rRNA from 1 species